rnacentral:rRNA from 1 species
AGUGAACGCUGGCGGUAGGCCUAACACAUGCAAGCCGAACGGCAGCACAGUAAGAGCUUGCUCUUACGGGUGGCGAGUGGCGGACGGGUGAGGAAUAGAUCGGAAUCUACUUUUUCGUGGGGGAUAACGUAGGGAAACUUACGCUAAUACCGCAUACGUCCUACGGGUGAAAGCAGGGGAUCUUCGGACCUUGCGCGAUUGAAUGAGCCGAUGUCGGAUUAGCUAGUUGGCGGGGUAAAGGCCCACCAAGGCGACGAUCCGUAGCUGGUCUGAGAGGAUGAUCAGCCACACUGGAACUGAGACACGGUCCAGACUCCUACGGGAGGCAGCAGUGGGGAAUAUUGGACAAUGGGCGCAAGCCUGAUCCAGCCAUACCGCGUGGGUGAAGAAGGCCUUCGGGUUGUAAAGCCCUUUUGUUGGGAAAGAAAAGCAGCAGGUUAAUACCCCGCUGUUCUGACGGUACCCAAAGAAUAAGCACCGGCUAACUUCGUG